CUGACUCGGGUCUGUACGUACGUGUCGGACUUUCCCUCAGCGCAGCAUGCUGGGUGACUACAGGUGCAGCUAGUCAGCCAUAAUUAAACCCACAUGAAGCUAAUUACCAGCAGGUCGUUACAAACACAACCACUGACGCGGUCGAGGCGAUGAGACGAGUCACAGUCGAGACGUUUCAGAGUUCUGGGCGUGGCUCUGCUGCUGGACUGAGCGGUGCCGGUCCACAACACCUGCAGCGCGUUGGAUGUAAUCAGCACCUGCGGUCACACCUGGAUCUUCCCUCCACACGGGGCCAGAUUCUUGCCAACAGUGUCAAGAUCACGACGCUGCACAAACCUCGUUCUUCAUAUACGAGACAAAAUAUCCCCAGAGAACAUGAUCCAAGCUGCAGUUACGAACCCCUCCCACAGAGACAAAUCAGCACGAGGCUUUUUAAAUGUAAUGUUCUGCUAGAUGAAGUUGUUCUCACCUACAGAAGUUAAAUUAAACUGCA